AUAAAGGUAAGCUAAAAUAAGCUCAUGGGUUCAUACCCCAUUAAUAGGAUUAUCUCCUCCUUUUUA
rnacentral:tRNA from 1 species